rnacentral:rRNA from 1 species
UGGGGAAUUUUGGACAAUGGGCGAAAGCCUGAUCCAGCCAUGCCGCGUGAGUGAAGAAGGCCUUCGGGUUGUAAAGCUCUUUUAGUCGGAAAGAAAGAGUUGCAGUGAAUAAUUGUGAUUUAUGACGGUACCGACAGAAAAAGCACCGGCUAACUACGUGCCAGCAGCCGCGGUAAUACGUAGGGUGCGAGCGUUAAUCGGAAUUACUGGGCGUAAAGGGUGCGCAGGCGGUUUUGCAAGUCAGAUGUGAAAGCCCCGGGCUUAACCUGGGAAUUGCGUUUGAAACUACAAGGCUAGAGUGCAGCAGAGGGGAGUGGAAUUCCAGGUGUAGCAGUGAAAUGCGUAGAGAUGUGGAAGAACACCGAUGGCGAAGGCAGCCCCCUGGGUUGACACUGACGCUCAUGCACGAAAGCGUGGGGAGCAAACA